rnacentral:tRNA from 1 species
CGGGAAGUAUUUCAAUUGGUAGAAUGCAGGCUUUGGGAGCUUGUGGUUGCAGGUUCGAGUCCUGUCUUCCCGA